UCCCUUUGCUUCUCAGCACAUGGGGAUUUUCGAUGUUCUUCCAGGAGCUCCAGCCCCAAUGGGCAGCCAGGAACGGGAGUAGGAGGCCAGCGGUGACCCGCGCUGAGAGGACCCAGCAAGUUUUGGGCUCUGCUUAUUCCGUUGACUCGGUGAGAGACUGGGGACCAUAUCUUGCUGACUGAUGGCGGCUGCACUGUGUCUGCAUAAGAGGCUGAAUUUCACCGUGGAGCUAGCCCAGCCCUCUAAACUUCAACCACUUGAAAGGUCUCCAUCAAAACACUUUCUGUAACUUCAGACCUCACAGAUCUGAGAGAAAAUCUUCCUGGAACUCCACCUCUGGGCUGGGUGAGCCGACAGUCCGGCUCUCCUAGCUUGGGGCAAAGCACACGGCUUAUGCAUGCAGGCGGUGUUGGGUCAGUGUGGGAAGCAAGAGUCUACACGAGAGUCAACAAGCCCAGGACAGGAGAGGACCAGCUGAGUCCGUUCAGAAGUGGCUGAGGACAGACAAGAAGGACAGCAUCAGGCACCCAGAAAAGACCUUAAUCCAGAUCUGAUGAGAAGAUGAUGACCAAGCAUUAAGGCACUUGCUACCUCGACUCUUACUAGCCGCAACUGAUGUACGAGAGUACUAGCUUAUUCCAU
rnacentral:lncRNA from 1 species